UACAGAGGGUGCGAGCGUUAAUCGGAAUUACUGGGCGUAAAGCGUGCGUAGACGGUAAUGUAAGUCAGAUGUGAAAGCCCCGGGCUCAACCUGGGAAUUGCAUUUGAGACUGCAUUGCUUGGGUGCGGAAGAGGGAAGCGGAAUUUCCGGUGGAGCGGUGAAAUGCGUAGAUAUCGUUUGGAACGCCAAUGGUGAAAACAACUUGCUGGGGGUGUGCUGACGCUGAGACACGAAAGCCAGGGGAGCAAACGGG
rnacentral:rRNA from 1 species